rnacentral:rRNA from 1 species
GAUCAUGGCUCAGGAUGAACGCUGGCGGCGUGCCUAACACAUGCAAGUCGAGCGAAGCGAUCGAGAUGAAGUUUUCGGAUGGAUUCCUGAUUGACUGAGCGGCGGACGGGUGAGUAACGCGUGGGUAACCUGCCCUUUGCAGAGGGAUAGCCUCGGGAAACCGGGAUUAAAACCUCAUGAUGCCGUGUGAAGACAUCUUCAUAUGGUCAAAGAUUUAUCGGCAAAGGAUGGG